AGUCCAACUAAAUGUCACCUUCUGAGGUCAUCCCUGAGCACUGUAUCUAAAAUAGCGGACCCCCUGCCCCAACAUCCCAUUUUAUUGUCUUCCUAGCACCUUAUCACUCUGUGAAGUUAUCUUCUUUGUUCACUGGCUCUUCCUACUAAAGUGAGUUGCGUGAGAGCGGGGGCCUUCCUUUCACGUUCACUACAUCCCAGAGUUUAGGUUAGUGCCUGGCUCCUGGUUGGCACUCAGCAUUUUGCAUCAUGUGUUUGAAAAAUUACAAAAGUCCAUUGUUGCUUGGAUGAAGGAAAGAGUCACUGGAUACGAAAAUGAAAGACAGGUGAAGAUCUGAACUGCAGAGGGUGAUUCUGGCCUUGAAAAGAAACCAAGAUAAAAGGAAACAGCUCUUGGGAAUUAUAAACGAAACAAAACCAGAGACUCAUUGCCCCAUUUUCAUCUCUUUAGUAGUUUGGUUUUCAGUGACUUGCAGUAUAUGUACUAUAGCGCAUUUCUUCUUUGCUACUGGAUUUGAUUCUCCUGAUCCUUUUCCCAGUUUAUACGUACUAAAUCCUGAAGACCUUUCAUUUCUUCAUUCCACAAAUGUUUACUGAAUGCCUGCCAUGUGCAAGAUAUGAUUGUUCUUUUGCCGUCACUUUCAGAUCGUCCAGACUUGAACUGAGGGGCAUUGCUGGCUUGAAAAUGAUCCAAGAACAAAAGAAACACCUCUCAAAGGUCAUCCACUAAACAAACAAAAACUGAGAAACGUACGUUUUUCUUCUCCUUGGGACUGAAUCUGGGCUCUAACUUUGGAUUUUCAGUAGGAAGACAACCUAUGAGCUUCCUCAACCCGAAAACUGUCUGCCCAUGAUCUGGUUCAGCCCCCACCUUCUGGACUCGGAACAGGGCCUGGGAGGCGACGACACGCAGAGAGGGCUCAGGGUCACGCAGCAGAUCUCUCAGAUCUAAGUGGCAAGAAACCCCAGGGUGGAGGUGAAGACCUAUGGAAAUGAUCACUAGUUCAGACACCAAACAGCCAACAUGCCUACAGAAGCUGGGAUAAAGGGCGAACUUCUUGCAAGCCUCUGUCUGAAAGUUUGUAUGUUUAUAGGUCAAUUCCAACUUUGACCUACAAAACUUACUCGUUUCCAAGUUGCCAAAUAUUUCACUCCUUUACAAUAAUCACACUGCCAAGUAGUCUACUUAAAGUCAAAUUGUUGGACCUGCUAAGCUAUGUCUAAUAUUGUUAACUUCUAAGUUAAGAGAAAAACACUGUUAUUUUUCUGUUCUUCUUUCUAUUCAUUUAUUUACACAAUGUAUACUUUUAUUUUUUGUCUAAAUGGAACCAUAUUUUACAUAUUAUCUAAUUAUUGUUUAUUUAAUCACAUUGCAUCAUCAUUUAUCCAAGUUAUUUAAAUAUUUUUCUACAAUGUCUUUCAUGGCUGCAUAUGAUUCUACAAUGUGGAUAUGCUAUACUUAACUAACUUCCUAUUGUUUCUAAUCUUGGAUGUCUCCCAUUUUUGCUCUUUUAAAUAACACUGAAAUGAACAUUCCUGUAACUAUUUCUGCUUAUUUUCAUAGGUUAAAUUCCUAGAAGUGGGAUUGAUAAGUCAAAGGAUAUGAUUAUUUAAAGGGUUUUAAUAUGUAUUGCCAAACUUCCCUAUAAAAAAGUUGUUUCAAUUUAUGCUCAUCUCAACACAGUGGAUCAUAAUGUCAGUUUUCCUUUAACACAUCAAUAUUGAGUAUUAGUAGUCUUUGCCAUUUUGACAGAAGAACACAUACUGGUAUCUCAUCAUUGUUUUGCUUUAUAAACUUUUGAUUACUAGUAAUACUGAAUAUUUUUCAUAUAUUUAUUGCCCAUUUAUCUUCUAUGAACUGAUCAUUCAUAAUAUUUUCCACUUUUCUUUUGAGAAAGUACUGGUUUAAGGAAUAUUUACCCUUCAUCAUCUUGCAAAUAAUCCCUUCCAUGUUAUUGUUUAUUUUUCAGUUUUGUCAUUUUCUCUUUUUUUUCAAAGGUGGUUUUUAAAAUUUUUAUGUAGACAAAUCUAUUAUUCUUUUACUUUAUGGAUCUGUGUUUUGAUCCUAUUAGAAAAAGCUCUCUUUUUAAUUUCUAAUUCUCCAAGGUCACAAAAUGCUCAGGAUCUCUUCAUACUAUGGAGCUUUUUAUUACUUAAGUUGUAUUUUAGCCUUUAAAUUCACGUUUAUUUCCAAAAUGGAAUACUUUCAGUUCUUGCAUUAAGAUCUGGCUACAUGUUCCACAGAAUACAUGAGGGGGCAGACAUAAAUUUUGCAAUCCAAAGGAAGUGAAACUUAUUUUGUCAUGAAAUUGAUUUAAAUUGAUAUUUAAAAUUUUAUUUUUGUUUAAAUUUAGCUUAAAAUUACCUGUGGUAAAUGACAUAAACUUGUUUAAAAAAGAGUGCUAGGGUGUUCUACCCUAUUUCUAAGACAGAUAAGCCACUGUUAGGGAAGGAAGAGGGUGGGAUUAUUCCAUUAGGUUGAACCACAUAAGACUGCUGAUAUUUGACCAGUUUUGCCUUACAAAAUGGUAAUUUCAUAUGGUUCACCCUAAUAUAUAUGUAUAUAAUAUAAUAAUACAUAUAGAUAACUUGAGAGUAGAAAAGGAACUUUGGUUCUCCAGUGUUUUAGAUUAUAAUUUCCUUUUAAUUGAAUCAACCAAGUAGAAUCCUACUUCACAGAAUAAAAUAAUCUACAUGACUUUUCCUAUUUUUUUUUGCUUCUGAUAUCUGUGGAGAAGUAGGAGACCUUAGAGAAAAGUGGCAUGAUCUUUCUUAAAUAAGUUUCAGCUUCUGGCUAUUUUACCAGUUAUUUAUUUUUACUUAAAAAGCAGUGAAUUGUUCAGUAUUUUAAUUUGGUUCUCAAAGUACAUGCUUUUGGAUUGUGAGAUUUAGCAUUUUGUGGCAUUUUCUAAUUGUAGGACUACUUUUUAAGUGGGAAUAAAUCAUUCUUUGUGUGCUAA